rnacentral:rRNA from 1 species
UACGUAGGGGCCGAGCGUUGCCGGAGUUACUGGGCGUAAAGCGCGCGCAGGUGGCCCAUUACGCCCGGCGUGAAAGCCCCCGGCUCAACCGGGGAGGGUCGUCGGGUACGGGUGGGCUUGAGGGCAUCAGGGGCUGGUGGAAUUCCCGGUGUAGCGGUGAAAUGCGCGAUAUCGGGAGGAACACCCGAUGGCGAAGGCGCAGCA